AUCGCUUCUCGGCUCUUUGAGCUAAGAUCAAGUGUAGUAUCUGUUCUUCUCAGUUUAAUACCUGGGACGGAAACGAUUCGUUUCCUCUAUGUAUUAAUCGGAUUUUUGAACUUGGAGUAUGGUGCUGGAGCUUGCUCCACCCUGCUCACGGGUUGUCGUGGUAUUGCAGUACCUCCAGGUUCGGCUCACGUUUC
rnacentral:snRNA from 1 species